UGGGGAAUUUUGGACAAUGGGCGAAAGCCUGAUCCAGCAAUGCCGCGUGUGUGAAGAAGGCCUUCGGGUUGUAAAGCACUUUUGUCCGGAAAGAAAUCCUUGGCUCUAAUACAGUCGGGGGAUGACGGUACCGGAAGAAUAAGCACCGGCUAACUACGUGCCAGCAGCCGCGGUAAUACGUAGGGUGCAAGCGUUAAUCGGAAUUACUGGGCGUAAAGCUGCGCAGGCGGUUUGCUAAGACCGAUGUGAAAUCCCCGGGCUCAACCUGGGAACUGCAUUGGUGACUGGCAGGCUAGAGUAUGGCAGAGGGGGGUAGAAUUCCACGUGUAGCAGUGAAAUGCGUAGAGAUGUGGAGGAAUACCGAUGGCGAAGGCAGCCCCCUGGGCCAAUACUGACGCUCAUGCACGAAAGCGUGGGGAGCAAACAGGAUUAGAUACCCUGGUAGUCCACGCCCUAAAACGAUGUCAACUAGUUUGUUGGGGAUUCAUUUCCUUAGUAACGUAGCUAACGCGUGAAGUUGACCGCCUGGGGAGUACGGUCGCAAGAUUAAAACUUAAAUGAAUUGAAC
rnacentral:rRNA from 1 species